GGGGACAAAGAGAAGGAGGAGGAGAAACAAUACGCUCGCCUGUACACGUCACCAGAACACAAUUUUCUUCAGCUUCUUAAUGCUUCUCUACAAGUGAAAUUAAGGAUAUAAACAAAGUAACACUAAAG